UACGGAGGGUGCAAGCGUUAUCCGGAUUCACUGGGUUUAAAGGGUGCGUAGGCGGGUAAGUAAGUCCGUGGUGAAAUCUCUGAGCUUAACUCAGAAACUGCCGUGGAUACUAUUUGCCUUGAAUAUUGUGGAGGUGAGCGGAAUAUGUCAUGUAGCGGUGAAAUGCUUAGAUAUGACAUAGAACACCAAUUGCGAAGGCAGCUCACUACACAAUCAUUGACGCUGAGGCACGAAAGCGUAGGGAUCAAACAGG
rnacentral:rRNA from 1 species